GUAGCAAAUACUUUGGUGGCGACCGGCGCACGGGUGAGUAACGCGUAUGCAACCUACCUAUCAGAGGGGAAUAACCCGGCGAAAGUCGGACUAAUACCGCAUAAAACAGGGACACCGCAUGGUGAUAUUUGUUAAAGAAAUUCGCUGAUAGAUGGGCAUACGUUCCAUUAGGUAGUUGGUGAGGUAACGGCUCACCAAGCCGACGAUGGAUAGGGGAACUGAGAGGUUGGUCCCCCACACUGGUACUGAGACACGGACCAGACUCCUACGGGAGGCAGCAGUGAGGAAUAUUGGUCAAUGGGCGAGAGCCUGAACCAGCCAAGUCGCGUGAAGGAAGAAGGAUCUAUGGUUCGUAAACUUCUUUUGCAGGGGAAUAAAGUGCAGGACGUGUCCUGUUUUGUAUGUACCCUGAGAAUAAGGAUCGGCUAACUCCGUGCCAGCAGCCGCGGUAAUACGGAGGAUCCGAGCGUUAUCCGGAUUUAUUGGGUUUAAAGGGUGCGUAGGUGGUUUGAUAAGUCAGCGGUGAAAGUUUGCAGCUUAACUGUAAAAAUGCCGUUGAAACUGUCGGACUUGAGUGUAAAUGAGGUAGACGGAAUGCGUGGUGUAGCGGUGAAAUGCUUAGAUAUCACGAAGAACUCCGAUUG
rnacentral:rRNA from 1 species